CUAUCACGAUAAGCAUAAUAUGAUUAGAAUGAGUUCGUUUGUCACUAGUUCUCGAGACUAUAGACAUGGUGUUCUCACGAUUAGAAAGAUGCGAUAACAAUCAAGCUAUGUAGCCACACUGAUAAUGAAAGUCUAGUAUCCCAAACUAGAAUACCAAAUAUGCAAUUCCGAGGACGGAAUUUUUAUAAGGACGGAGGAAUGUAACACCCCUUUUCCUCGUAGCUACAUUUAGAGUAUUUUUGAACUUAGAUUUAAGAAGAUUCACGCCGGAUUGAGAAAAAGAAUUUAUUUUAAUUCCAACAAAUGAUUUGCAAAAUCCUUUUUGUAAAUGUUAGUCAUUUAAAUUCUUAUGCAUUUCAUAUUUAUUUAAAUUGUAUAUUAAACAUUUAGCAUCUACACGAGCUAUUUAUUUAAGCAAACACUGAUCGAUUAUUACAGUUUUCAUAGUACAACCCGAAAGUUUUUUUUUUAUUUUAUUUUAUUACUCCCACCUACUCCCACACCCACCUACUCCCACCUACUCCCACAGCCACCUACUCCUACACAACCAUACUGUUAGUACAAUUAUAGUGAACACCUACCAACUCCAUGUUUCCAUCCCAUCCAAGUUUUGCCCACCUAUAUUCAUCUCCUCACAAUACAACAAACACAUACACAAUAACACAUCUUGACAACUUCCUCAAUGCUCAAUCGAUGCUGCCAUCUAAAAGAUACACCAACUCAAAGCCCUUCCUCAAACUAGUAGAACACUCGGGCAUAACAUCAAGAAAAAGCUCAGCCUUUCCUAUCAAGGCUUUGUGACCAGGGGGAUUAGCGCUGCUUUCCCAAGACAGGUUAUGUGAUUAUGAUCUUCAGGCUUUGCCUAAUCAGGUUGAGCUGAUGUGAUGAUAGUGCUGCAAUGAGCAGAGUCUCCAGGGUUGUUAAUAAAUAGUUAACCUGUCUAGAAUAUGUCUUCAUACAUAUGUCUAGCUACAUUCCGCUGCAAGAUGUUGUUGAUGUUAUAGUAUGUUAUGUCAUACUUUGAGUCUUAAGAGAAUGGUUUCAUAUGAUGUAUAACUUAAUUAAUGAUAUUAAUUAAGUUUUAUGCUGUCUUUCAUAGACUGUUUAAAAGAGUAUUAAUGAGUAAAUACGACGAGUUUUCUUAGGUUGAGUAAGAUUUACGGUUCCAAAUGAUGCCCCUUUCUUCCCCUUAUUCUUUAAUCCCAUCCCUAGUCGUAGAUCACUCGGCUUAACUAUCCUUAGUUAAGGCGGGCUGUGACAGAGUGGUAUCAGAGCGAAGGAAAGCUCUGAAUUAGAAGUCUUGAGUUUAGUCUAGAAUGAGUCACUAGACUAAUAGUUAUUAACAACCGUGAGCUCAGCGCACCAUCACACCAGGCUCAACGAGGUAUGUAAAAUUUCAAAGUUUAUUUGACGUUAAAUUUUGAAGAGCAUGAUGUUGAAGUUAUAUGAUGAGUUAUGAUGUUACACUUUGAAGGUGCAUAGUUUGAGUUUGAGGAUGACAACAUGAUUAAUAAUGAGUUAUUAUGUUGUAAGAGCAUAUGUUGACGUUACAUGAUGAAUUAUGAGAGCGUUUAUAUCAUAUGAUGUUAUAUGAUUGAGGAUGCAUAAUUAUGAGUUAUGAUGUGAUGUAUUUGAGAUGUUUUGUGAUGAGAAUUGUUUGAACAGUUGUGAUAAGUCACGAUGAUUUAGAUGAAGGAACUAAUGUCAUUGUUAAGAGAGAUUUUCUACUAAGUAGAAGGAUGAAAUGAGAACUUAGAGCUAAAGUUUGAGAGAAUUAGCAAUUGCUUUAAGUACUUGUUUGUAUGAGUUAUGAGUUUGAGUUAUGAGCUUGAGUAUGAUAGCAUGAUUAAUGAUGAGUUAUUAACAUGCUGCAAUGAGAUAUUGUACGAUAUGUUUGAGAUGUUUUAUGACGCGAGUUUUGCUCACGCAACCUUAAUGGUACUUGAGGAGGUAUCAUGAGCCAUAGUCUUUGGAGAUGGCUUUGAGAGAGAAUUGUUGAGUUGUCUUACUGAGUCACGAUGAUUUAGAUUAAGAGAUCUAAUAUCAUUGUUUAGAGAGAUUCCCUACUGAGUAAAGAUGGGAAGAGAUGAGAAUUUAGAUGUUUUGAGCUUGAGUUUUAAGAUAACAGUACUACUUAGUAGGAGUUUUGCUAAGUUAUGUUUUGUUUAUUUCUGUUGCUGGAGCCAAGUAGAGUUAGUUCCUAGAGGCACCUUUAAGUUCUCCUUAUAGGUUGGCCAGGACUGUUGGCACUGCACGAAAGUGGACUGUUGUGAGAUCGAACUCAGGGAAGAUCGGAUACGAGGACGAGGCGUACAGUAUGUGGUACAGAGAUACCCUAGCAGAUUUUCAAACACAUGUUCAUAGACUAUGAAAGGAUGAAAGCCUUAUGGUUGUUACUGGACUGGAUGGCAUCGUGCACCUAGUCCCCGUGCUACCAGAUUACAGAUGCCCAGAUUUAUUACAGAUGCCCAGAUUUUCUAUGCGGAUCUACUGACCGGAUGCCUGUUUUCUACCAGGGACUCUAGAAGAGUGUAGUAGAUAUCGAGUCGAUCCUUGAGUAUCAGUUACCAAAGAUGAUAAAUGAUAAACGAUAAUGAGGAUGAGAAGUAGCCGAGGAGGGCUAGAGUUGAUGAGGAUGAGAAGAGAAGUCGAUGUAGACUAGAGCUAAGGAUGAUCUUGAGAGUAUGAGCGGUACACCCUCGUUUUUGAUUAGUUUCAAUUACAUUGCGAUGUAUAUAACUUACUUAGGAGAUACUGGUACUUGAGCUUUUGACAUGCUGAUAGAUAAGCAUACGAAUAAAGUACCCUACUGAUGUUAAAUAGAUGGAUGUUCCUAGUGUGCUAAAGUAGCAACUAGAUGAGUUAACUGGUAGCAAUUACCGUAGGAGGUCCCGACCGAGACAUAGUACUAUUAAUGGUGUCGGUUUA